GUCAAACUUGCUCUCAUCUUUUUACCACACUGCACUUCCUCGGAACCUUCCUUUGCCUUUGCUGUGUUCUAAGGCCGUAGAAGUGGUAAGUCACUAGCUCUCUCUGUCAUUUUUUUUUUCUUCUGAUAAAUGAGGUAUUUGGAACAUACUUAAAAUUUAGUUUAGUUCCAACAUUCUAAGAGCCUUCAUUAGAGUGACCAAGUACACUGGUUAUUUUAUUUCAUUUCAUUUUACUUUAUUUUUAAAUUUAUACCAGGGUCAUUCAAGGUCUCAUCACUGCAAAUGAAAAUAUUAAAUAAUAUUCAUAAGCCAUGUUUGAAUCCACCACAUCAGAGAAGGAGUUGGGGACUCCUAGACUCCUCUUUUUCCUUUGGGAGGAAAAGGAAAUUGGCAAACAUUUUGAAAAAACUGGAUACUAUCCCAACAUCCUUAGAGUCAGCACUGUGUCUAUAAAUUGUAACAUCUUAACUGAUAAAACGUGCUUCUUCAUGCAAAAGAUGAUCCUGGAUGCAGAUCACUUUCUCCAGAAAGUCUUCCUGGAAACCAGCUCUCCUCAAACUGAC
rnacentral:lncRNA from 1 species